rnacentral:tRNA from 1 species
GCCGCCGUAGCUCAGUCGGUAGAGCGCGUGACUGUUAAUCAUGAGGUCCACGGUUCAAGUCCGUGCGGCGGCGCCA